rnacentral:rRNA from 1 species
AGAGUUUGAUCCUGGCUCAGGACGAACGCUGGCGGCGCGCUUAACACAUGCAAGUCGAGCGAGAACCUGGGCUUCGGCCCUGGGGACAGCGGCGAACGGGUGAGUAACACGUGGGUAAUCUGCCCUCGGCAUCGGGAUAGCCCGGGGAAACCCGGAUUAAUACCGGAUAGCCUCCGGAGCCUUCGGGCGCCGGAGAAAAGGUAGCUUCGGCCUCUGGCCGAGGAUGAGCCCGCGGCGGAUUAGCUUGUUGGCGGGGUAACGGCCCACCAAGGCGACGAUCCGUAGCUGGUCUGAGAGGACGAUCAGCCACACUGGGACUGAGACACGGCCCAGACUCCUACGGGAGGCAGCAGUGGGGAAUCUUGCGCUAAUGCGGGAAACCGUGACGCAGCGACGCCGCGUGGGGGAAGAAGGCCUUCGGGUUGUAAACCUCUUUCAGGAGGGACGAAGCUACUCGGGUGAAUAGCCCAGAGGGUGACGGUACCUCCAGAAGAAGCCCCGGCUAACUACGUGCCAGCCGCCGCGGUAAUAC